CCUCCAUGGCCAAGAAUUGCUCAAGCUUUCUUUCUUCCAUAACUUGGUCAAAUCUCCACCGAAUCCAACGAUUUUUGUCUUGAAACUUGUUGGAAAACACCUCCUAAACACAUUGGUACCACUCUUGAGCCUUGAAAUCGCGUGUGUGAGGAGAUCUUGGCCAUUUACAGCUGCGGUUUUGGUGAGGAAUUUUGUGUUCUUGGAGCUUCCAAGUGCUCCAAUGGUGGAGUAUAGUUAGGAGGAGCCUUGUACCUUCCAUUUGGGUUGCCGUACAUCGACCUGAAUCCCGAAUCUUGAAUCAGUGAAUUGCCCUUGGUCCGGGACCAAGUGGAUUGAGGCAUUCCGCUGUGUACCGAGUUGAGGGAUAAGCUGCUACGGAGCUUGUGGAAACACGAAUUAAGGAGGUAGCAGUGGAGCAGGAGCCUCGGGCAAGAGGCCCGCAGAGUGAGCGAUGGAGCGUUUCUUAUUUUGCAUUUUGUUGGCCGUGUGGCCUAGGCUAGACUUAAGGCAUGAACAUGUCAUUUGUAUUUAUUAGUAGCUUCAUUAGCAUCUUGUUCAUGCCAUUUUGCCUAAGUCUAGUAGUGAUGUAUUUGGUUAUGUUGUCUUUUAAUUAAGUUGAAAUUUUAGAAGAAUGUAAUUUGAAGUUUUAGUUUCAAGUUGUAAUUUGUAAAGCCAUAUUGUAAUAGUAUUGAUGCAUGUCUAACUAUGA